rnacentral:rRNA from 1 species
AUUGAACGCUGGCGGCAGGCCUAACACAUGCAAGUCGAACGAGUGGCGGACGGGUGAGUAAUGUCUGGGAAACUGCCCGAAGGAGGGGGAUAACUACGGGAAACGGUAGCUAAUACCGCAUACCAUCGCAUUUGCCCUGAUGGGAUUAGCUAGUAGGUGGGGUAACGGCUCACCUAGGCGACGAUCCCUAGCUGGUCUGAGAGGAUGACCGGCCACACUGGAACUGAGACACGGUCCAGACUCCUACGGGAGGCAGCAGUGGGGAAUAUUGCACAAUGGGCGAAAGCCUGAUGCAGCCAUGCCGCGUGUAUGAAGAAGGCCUUCGGGUUGUAAAGCACUGUCAUCGAGGAGGCGUUACUCGCACAAGAAGCCCCGGCUAACUCCGUGCCAGCCGCCGCGGUAAUUC